GAUGAACGCUGGCGCCGCGCCUAACACAUGCAAGUCGAACGAUUAAAGCACCUUCGGGUGUGUAUAAAGUGGCGAACGGCUGAGUAACACGUGGGCAACCUGCCCCUUUCAUUGGGAUAGCCACGGGAAACCGUGGAUAAUACCGAAUACUUCGAGACUUCCGCAUGGAAGACUCGAGAAAGCUCCGGCGGAGAGGGAUGGGCCCGCGGCCUGUUAGCUUGUUGGUGGGGUAACGGCCUACCAAGGCAAUGAUGGGUAGCUGGGUUGAGAGACCGACCAGCCAGAUUGGGACUGAGACACGGCCCAGACUCCUACGGGAGGCAGCAGUGGGGAAUCUUGCACAAUGGGCGAAAGCCUGAUGCAGCGACGCCGCGUGCGGGAUGAAGGCCUUCGGGUUGUAAACCGCUUUCAGCAGGGACGAGGCGAAAGUGACGGUACCUGCAGAAGAAGCCCCGGCUAACUACGUG
rnacentral:rRNA from 1 species